rnacentral:rRNA from 1 species
UACGUAGGGUGCGAGCGUUGUCCGGAAUUAUUGGGCGUAAAGAGCUCGUAGGCGGCUUGUUGCGUCGACCGUGAAAACCCGUGGCUCAACUGCGGGCUUGCGGUCGAUACGGGCGGGCUAGAGUUCGGUAGGGGAGACUGGAAUUCCUGGUGUAGCGGUGGAAUGCGUAGAGAUCCGGAAGAACACCGGUGGCGAAGGCGGCCUGCUGGGACAGUGCUGACGCUGAGGCGCGACAGCGUGGGGAGCAAACAGG